rnacentral:lncRNA from 1 species
UAGCGAGUACUAGUCGGGGUAUGGAAUGAAGGUUCUAGAGAGAGUUGUUUAAUAGUCCUCACCAUUUUUGUAAAAUAAUGUAUCAAUAAUUAUGAUGGGGAUUUAUUUGGGUAUGUAUAUUGUCUAGAAGACAAUAAUUGUAUUUAAAUUCACAGUAUAUAUGUUUAUUUUGCACGACAAAUGUAUUAAUAAAGUUGUAGUUAUUUCUGUACCAUGUAUUUGGCGACUCAGAAUGGGUUGGAUGGAAUGGACCUAUUUUGGGGGCG